rnacentral:rRNA from 1 species
GAUUUCUGGUAUGGUGCGCCUGGUCCACCGGGGUAACCCGUGUGAGUGCCGGUGUGCGCCUGCCAUCCUUGUACAGAACGGCUCUACCCUUUAUUGGGUCGGAGUCGCCAUGUACAUCUUUUACUUUGAAAAAAUUAGAGUGUUUAAAGCAGGCUUGCGCUAUGAAUACAUUAGCAUGGAAUAAUAAUUUAGGACUUUGUUUCUAUUUUGUUGGUUUCUAGAGAUGAAGUAAUGAUUGAUAGGGAUAGUUGGGGGUGCUAGUAUUCAUCGGCCAGAGGUGAAAUUCUUGGAUUCGAUGAAGACUAACUUAUGCGAAAGCAUU